rnacentral:lncRNA from 1 species
UUAAACUUAUACCGUUUACGGACCCAUAAAAUACGGGUCUUAAUUUAGUAAAGAUCCGUAUUUUAUGGGUCUGGAAAGCUAUGAUAUAUAUAAAAGAAAAAAGUAUAGAAAAGAUUAGUGUGGAAUAGGCUUAGAAAGACCUGUAUUUUUAUGGGGAGGGGGCAAAUACCCUAUCCCAAAAGGAAAUGUACACAGCACAGAUAAAUAGAUAGUAAAGAUGGCAGAGCACUGGUUAUACCAAGCAACAUGAGAUGUAAAGAUGGCGGAGCAGCUCCCACUCUGGUUAUACCAAGUUGCAUGAGGUUAUUUCAAUGACAAUUAUGAGAAUUCUCUUGAAGAUAAGAAAGCACUCAAAGUGAUGACAAUGGACCAGAUAGUAAAAAGUUAUACAAUUAACAGAUUUGUUGAUUUUGGCAAAAAAAUAAUACGACAUCUUAAAAGAAAAAAUUUAUACGCUGACAUCAUAUACCGAAACUGAUAUGAAUUAAACACGCACAGAAUAAAUUAUCAAGUCUACAGAUUGCAGCUAACAUUAUACAGACUCCGAGAACCAAAACAAAAUGGAGACGGCGAUCUUCGACUAAAACAUGAAUUUAAAUGUUUAAUAUUUUUUUUAAACAUUUUCUUUAAUAUGAACUUGUUUCGGCAGUUGGGGAUCCUUUAAAAUUUUAUUCUUGAAAUGAUUUUAUAUUAAAUAAAACUAAUAAUUUGAUAAAUUAAGUUUUUUAUUAUAGAACAGAAAAGAAAACUUAGGCUUUAUUGUUAAAUUGUUGAGUUAUUUUGUAAGUAAAUUUUGUAAUUAAU